rnacentral:rRNA from 1 species
AUGGAGCCGUCCUUAGAAGAAUUGUCUAAAGAACAGAAAAGUAGUAACACCAUGUCUUUUUCAAGUCCAAAUCAGCAUUGCAAUGCGCUGACUAUCCGCCCAUGUUCCUUAUUGGAACCUUUGAUAAUUAUGAGUAGUCUUUUAAAUAUGUGUCCAUGUGUUGUAGUGAAUUUGUACAACGCAAGUCACCAUAAGUCGAUGUAUAGCACAAUGAAACAAAAGAAGUUUAACCGAGGGGGUCAUGUUAACGUUCAAAAAGAAUCCAGCAACGAGGGCCCCAAGGCGAUGUGUUUGAAGGGGCCAAAAAUCCACCGAGUAUUAAGUGUAUGUAAUCAGAAGGAAAAAAUUAAAAGGCCCGUAGCCGAAAGAAAAACAAUUUGGUUAUGA